AUCAAACUGGAGAUGAACAUCUAAAGGCAAUGGGCAAUGCUGGAGCUCCUCCAAAGAAGCAAAGAUGUGAAGAGCAUGAUAACCUUGUUUGAAAGUGUGGUAUUCUGGAGAGAAGAGAGCAGUCUACCAAAGAAUCUGACAUAGAAGCCUGGCUAUCAGACUAAAUCAAGGUACCCAGACACAGCAGGAGCCAGCCUUUUCCAAAAAGGCUCUGAGCUAUCUUUAAGUUUGGAGAGACUGUAUCUCAAGAAUCACCUUCUUCUUGUUGGGGACCAGUGUCUUCAUACCUGAUCCAAGGACAUAGCCCAGGAUGCUUUGCUGAGUGAAACACUUACCUUGGAAAAAGAUGGAAGAGCUUGAAUAAAUUCAGAUCUGGGAUUUCAAAGUGCUGCCACAUCAUUUAAAUGUCCUUACAGGGAGAGGAUAUUUGGACACACACAAGGAUAACCAUGUGAGGAUGGCUGUCUACAAGACAAAGAGAGAGGCCUUAAAAGGAACCAAUCUGCCAAUACCUUGAUAUUGGAAUUCUGGUCACCACAACUGAGAUAAUAAAUUUCUGUAGUUUAAGCCACCCAGUCCAUGUGAUUUUUUU